rnacentral:rRNA from 1 species
UUUAGAGUUUUGACCUGGCUCAGGAUGAACGCUGGCGGCGUGCCUAAUACAUGCAAGUCGAGCGAACAGACGAGGAGCUUGCUCCUCUGACGUUAGCGGCGGACGGGUGAGUAACACGUGGAUAACCUACCUAUAAGACUGGGAUAACUUCGGGAAACCGGAGCUAAUACCGGAUAAUAUAUUGAACCGCAUGGUUCAAUAGUGAAAGACGGUUUUGCUGUCACUUAUAGAUGGAUCCGCGCCGCAUUAGCUAGUUGGUAAGGUAACGGCUUACCAAGGCAACGAUGCGUAGCCGACCUGAGAGGGUGAUCGGCCACACUGGAACUGAGACACGGUCCAGACUCCUACGGGAGGCAGCAGUAGGGAAUCUUCCGCAAUGGGCGAAAGCCUGACGGAGCAACGCCGCGUGAGUGAUGAAGGUCUUCGGAUCGUAAAACUCUGUUAUUAGGGAAGAACAAAUGUGUAAGUAACUAUGCACGUCUGACGUCC